rnacentral:rRNA from 1 species
UAUGAGUUUGAUCCUGGCUCAGAUUGAACGCUGGCGGCAGGCCUAACACAUGCAAGUCGAACGGUAACAGGAAGUAGCUUGCUACUUUGCUGACGAGUGGCGGACGGGUGAGUAAUGUCUGGGAAACUGCCUGAUGGAGGGGGAUAACUACUGGAAACGGUAGCUAAUACCGCAUAACGUCGCAAGACCAAAGAGGGGGACCUUCGGGCCUCUUGCCAUCAGAUGUGCCCAGAUGGGAUUAGCUAGUAGGUGGGGUAACGGCUCACCUAGGCGACGAUCCCUAGCUGGUCUGAGAGGAUGACCAGCCACACUGGAACUGAGACACGGUCCAGACUCCUACGGGAGGCAGCAGUGGGGAAUAUUGCACAAUGGGCGCAAGCCUGAUGCAGCCAUGCCGCGUGUAUGAAGAAGGCCUUCGGGUUGUAAAGUACUUUCAGCGGGGAGGAAGGCGGUGAGGUUAAUAACCUCAUCGAUUGACGUUACCCGCAGAAGAAGCACCGGCUAACUCCGUGCCAGCAGCCGCGGUAAUACGGAGGGUGCAAGCGUUAAUCGGAAUUACUGGGCGUAAAGCGCACGCAGGCGGUCUGUCAAGUCGGAUGUGAAAUCCCCGGGCUCAACCUGGGAACUGCAUUCGAAACUGGCAGGCUAGAGUCUUGUAGAGGGGGGUAGAAUUCCAGGUGUAGCGGUGAAAUGCGUAGAGAUCUGGAGGAAUACCGGUGGCGAAGGCGGCCCCCUGGACAAAGACUGACGCUCAGGUGCGAAAGCGUGGGGAGCAAACAGGAUUAGAUACCCUGGUAGUCCACGCCGUAAACGAUGUCGAUUUGGAGGUUGUGCCCUUGAGGCGUGGCUUCCGGAGCUAACGCGUUAAAUCGACCGCCUGGGGAGUACGGCCGCAAGGUUAAAACUCAAAUGAAUUGACGGGGGCCCGCACAAGCGGUGGAGCAUGUGGUUUAAUUCGAUGCAACGCGAAGAACCUUACCUGGUCUUGACAUCCACAGAACUUAGCAGAGAUGCUUUGGUGCCUUCGGGAACUGUGAGACAGGUGCUGCAUGGCUGUCGUCAGCUCGUGUUGUGAAAUGUUGGGUUAAGUCCCGCAACGAGCGCAACCCUUAUCCUUUGUUGCCAGCGGUUAGGCCGGGAACUCAAAGGAGACUGCCAGUGAUAAACUGGAGGAAGGUGGGGAUGACGUCAAGUCAUCAUGGCCCUUACGACCAGGGCUACACACGUGCUACAAUGGCGCAUACAAAGAGAAGCGACCUCGCGAGAGCAAGCGGACCUCAUAAAGUGCGUCGUAGUCCGGAUUGGAGUCUGCAACUCGACUCCAUGAAGUCGGAAUCGCUAGUAAUCGUAGAUCAGAAUGCUACGGUGAAUACGUUCCCGGGCCUUGUACACACCGCCCGUCACACCAUGGGAGUGGGUUGCAAAAGAAGUAGGUAGCUUAACCUUCGGGAGGGCGCUACCACUUUGGAUGAUGA